UACGUAGGGUGCAAGCGUUGUCCGGAAUUAUUGGGCGUAAAGAGCUCGUAGGCGGUUUGUCGCGUCUGCUGUGAAAACUCGGGGCUUAACCCCGGGCCUGCAGUGGGUACGGGCAGACUAGAGUGCGGUAGGGGAGACUGGAAUUCCUGGUGUAGCGGUGAAAUGCGCAGAUAUCAGGAGGAACACCGAUGGCGAAGGCAGGUCUCUGGGCUGAAACUGACGCUCAUGCACGAAAGCGUGGGGAGCAAACAGG
rnacentral:rRNA from 1 species